rnacentral:rRNA from 1 species
AGUCAGGUAACGAGCGAGAUCCCUGCCUCUAGUUGCUACCAUUAUUCUCAGGAGUAGUGGAGCUAAUUAGAUGGACCGCCGUCGCUGAGACGGAGGAAGGUGGGCUACGGCAGGUCAGUAUUAGCCCCGAAAAUCCCUCGGGCCACACGCGGGCUGCAAUGGUAAGGACCAUGAGUUUAGAUUUCCGAAAGGAGGAGGCAAUCUCUAAACCUUACCACAGUUAUGAUUGAGGGCUGAAACUCGCCCUCAUGAAUAUGGAAUCCCUAGUAACCGCGUGUCACUAUCGCGCGGUGAAUACGUCCCUGCUCCUUGCACA